rnacentral:lncRNA from 1 species
CCUGGGCCGGGUCAAGGAUACUGUGCCUGGGGUACUGUACUGGGGGUACUGGGAGCACCGGGGGUACCGGGAGCACCGGGGGUACCGGGAUACCCUGCCUGGGGUGCCAUACCGGGGGUACCGGGGAUAUCGGGAGCACCGGGGGCACCAGGCCAGGGAUGCCAGGCUGGGGAUACCGGCGGUACCGGGGACACUGGGGGUGCCAGGCUGGCAGUACCGGGGAUACUGCAGAUACUAAGGGUGCUGGGGAUACUGGGGGUACCAGGGAUACCAGGGGCACUGGGGAUACCAGGGGUACCAGGGAUACCGAGCAGGGGGCGCCGGGGACACCGGGGGUAUCAGCGGUACUGGGGCACUGGGGAUACUAGGAAUACUGGGAAUACCGGGGGGGCCAGGCUAGCAGUACCAGGGAUACCGGGGAUAUCAAGGGCGCCAGGGAUAGCUGGGGUACCAGGGGUGCCGGGGAUACGGAGGGUACCGGGCCGGCGGUACCAGGGAUACUGGGGGCACUGGUGGUACCAGGCCAGCGGUGCGGGGGAUAUCGGCAGUACCGGGGAUACCGGGGUGCUGGGGAUACAGGCAGUACCGGGGAUAGCGAGCCAGGGACACCAGGUGUGCUGGGGAUACCGGGGUGCCGGCGGUACUGGUGAUACCGGGGGCGCUGGGGGUACCGGGCCGAGGGUACCGGGGAUAUCGGGAGCACAGGGGGCACCAGGCCAGGGAUGCCAGGCUGGGGAUACCGGUGGUACCAGGGACACCGGGGCCAGCAGUACCGGGGAUACCGAGGGUACCGGUGAUACCGGGGGCGCUGGGGGUACCGGGCGUACCGAGGCGGGAGUACGGGGGGUACCGAGGCGGGGACACCGGGUGUGCGGGGGAUACCGAGAGUACCGGUGACACCGGGAGCGCUGGGGAUACCGGGCCGGGGGUACCGAGGCAGGGACACCGGGUGUGCGGGGGAUACCGAGGGUACCGGUGACACCGGGGGCGCUGGGGGUACCGGGCCGGGGCCCCCGGGGGUAUCGGCGGC